GUUCCUGAAAAGCCACAGUGGGACGGCAGGCAGACAGAGCAGCCUCGUGAUCAACGGAGCAGACUUCAGCACCAAGGACAUGGACAAUGACAACUGCAUGUGCAAGUGUGCUCUCAUGCUCACUGGUGGUUGGUGGUUUGAUGCCUGCGGCCCGUCCAACCUUAACGGCAUGUACUUCACCCAAGGGCAACACAUAGGGAAGUUGAACGGUAUCAAGUGGCACUACUUCAAGGGCCCCAGCUACUCGCUACGAGCCACGGCCAUGAUGAUCCGCCCCCUGGACUUCUCCUAGUCUUUUGAACUUUGACCUUCCAAACGGCUAUGUCGAACAUUGCAGGGACGCUUCCUAUUUUAUCCUCUAGUCUCAUCUCAUUUCGCUGGCUGUGGGAGUCAUCCAAUAAAUCUUUUUUUAUUCUACCUGGUCCAUCCCCAGAGCAGUGGUGAUGGCUGUGCUGCUGUUGCUUGCUCACCUUUGCCCUCAAUGAACUGGAAGUCAGCCACGAGGAGGAAGUCAUGCAUGGUUCACCUGAACUGAUCUCUGUUCCACACAGAUUCACAAACUUGACAAAAAUAGGUGGGUUAUCUCACAUUUAAUGUGUGCACAUUUUGAGCACAAUGCAUAGUGUCAAACUAAAUAUUUGUGCAUUUUUCGUUUUGGACCUGCGGCUGUAAUAAUAAUGAGGACUGGAACUCUUCUGAAUGGAAAGCAGCGCUGACUCUUAAACUGCAGGGCAGAACUUAUCUGGAUGAGAGAUAUUGCUUUUUAAAAAAUGUUGCUCACAGAGCCCAUAAACGUUACCCUUGUAUUAUAUAUUGUGUUUUUUAGUAUAUUUGUUAUCCCAACUUUAGACGGCAUAUAAAGGGAGAUGAAAUUGUAUUUUGUACUGUACAGUGUAUUCUGAAUUUCUAUCUUUAUUGUGGAGGAAACACUUAGUGUUUAAGGUGACAUUGAACUUCAAGUAAUGACUUUUUAAUAGUUACCAAUGUCACAGUAUUUGCUGGCAAUUACACACGAGCUGUCUCGACACAGUGUGAUGAUUUGUAGAGUUCAAUAUGCUGGGGUUGUUAUUGGACUGCGAUCUAUUUGCCUUUUUUAUUGGCCGAGAAACUAUGAAUACCUGCCAACAUUCAGAUAAUGAACGAUCACCUUACUUCUGCUGAAUAUGAAAAACAAGGUCAUUAAUACAGAUGCACAUUAUUAGUGAUGUAUAACAAUUAUAGCUGUGUAGAUGGAGAGGGGAGAGAAUGCAUGAACAACAUUUAAUACACAGAUAUACAGAAUACUCCCGAGUGUAAUGAUGAAGUAUCGUGUCAUUAUUCCUCUAUAUUUACAACGAUGUAAGUGCUUAUAUUAAGCUGGUGUCCCACAUGUACAGAGUGCUAAAGAUAGAGGUGGAAGUUCAUAUUAAUCAAUCUUAUUUCUAACGUCAUGAAACAUUAACACUAUAAAGACUGCUCCUAACCUCUCAGCUUAAGACAAAGAGCAGAUCUUUAACACAAGUCACAUCCAAGAAGUUUCUCACAGACAUCCACAUGACAGCCUCAGCCAGUUUCUGUUUCUCAUCAAAGCAGCUUUGGAGAAAAACAAAAGCAGCUGUUAUAGGAUGUGAAGCAUGAAAUUAAUGAUUCCAACAAGUAGUUUGAACACAUAUUUCAUAACUUCAGCUUCAGAGUCUACUGUGGUAUAUUUACUAAAGGUACAUGUGGUGAGGGCGAGUGUAUCUGGAACUUGUAAAGCCACAAUUGACAUGUUUAUUACCAUAACAAUUGCAUAAUUUAAUGUGUGUACGCAAAGCAGCUUUCCUGAGGAAGGCUAUUCUUUUUUUCUGUUUAUCUGCCAGUAGUACAAUGGUGUUUUGAAGUUGAGCAUAAAACAUAGACACUAUAAUAACCCUGGAGAAAUGUGCCUUUGAUAACUCUGCUUUUACCUCAUCGAAUUCCAGAUUUGCAGAUUUAUUUAAACAUAUUUUGUAACAUGUGGAAAGUUUUGUGUUGCUAGAUUAAAUAAAAGAGACAAUCUUUUCAUAA